CAAUCACCCGCGUCUCGCGGCUCUCACCCUACCCCAUCCACCAAACGAGGAACCCUAGCUCCCUUUCUCCUUCCCCUCGACCCCCACGAGCCGCCGCACCCCUCCCUCUCCCUUCCGUGCGUGUGCUCGGCCAAGGACGCCGCCGUCGCCCUCGGCUCCUCCUCCAGCACCUCACCUUUUUCUCCUCCUCGCCUUCCCAACGCUCACGCGCAUGUCGCCGCCGUCGGAGAACAGGACAGUGCGGGUCGCUUCCUCCUUUUCCUCCCGCCGGAUCUAAGGCGUGCGGCCGUGGAGGCGAGCCUCUCCGGUGGCGGCGGCAAAGGGCGACCACAUGGAUCGGUCCCUGCAGGAGAGAGAAGAUGGGAGAGAGGGAGAGAAGGAAGGAGAGGAGGGAGGCCCUGCGGCGGACGGGAGAGGGUCACCGACCGCGACGAGGUCAGGUACGACCUGGUGGUUGGUGGCGGCUCGAUCCACUCCUGGAUCCUUCUUCUUCCACUUCCCCACUGCCUAACACCAAGGAAGAGGGCUGGCCGAGGAAGAGGGCGAGGACGCGGGGAUUGAAGAGGGUGUUCCUGCGUUCAUCGCCUGGCCAAGGACGAGGACGACAACGUGGGGUGGAGCAUGUCAUCCCUCUGGUUAUCACCUCCUUUCUGCUACUGGGCUGAGAUGAGGGUUUUCUCCACCGAUUGUGGUGGCCUGAGUCAGAGAUCGACAGCCAGAUGCUUGUGGCUACCACACAAAACGUGCUCUCUUGCUGACCUCGAGGUCCAGACGCAAUGGAUCGUCUCCAAGGUGUUUCUCCGACCAGCAACAACAAAACUCCGCACUUUCUCAAUUGCGCUGUGAUUGGUUCAUGUCCACCAAGGCCGUUGCGUUGGUCGCGGUACUCUGCUUCCUUUGGGUUUGCUUGCUGUCGAGGAAGAAGAAAGGUGUGAACUAUGUGAAAAUGGACAAACCCACUGUCCCAGAUGGUAAUGAAAAAACUGACACCAACUAGCUCACUCUAUAAAUUUUGUCUAGGCUCAAGCUAACUACAUAUCUGCACCACGAUUGCUCACUGGGGAUAUAGAUGUAUGCCUAACAUCAGGUGUGUAGGUUAUAGGAGAUACAAGGAGAGAUAUUUCAGUUGCAAUCGAGCUUUCUUUCAAAGUGAAACAUGGUAGAAAUGCAUAGCAUGCAAGAUGUUUUACUCUACAGUUCUGGGACGCUAUGGUGUCAAUUUUGAACUUGCAAAAUGAACUGUAAAAUAUUUUAAUGCCUUGGGGAAUGAAGUUCUCUUUACCUGCUCUCACUACUUCAUAUCUGUUUAUUUAGCAUGUUCUACGAUCUCCUUUGCUGCAUCUUGAUCUUCGGCUUUGCUAUAACUCUUUUUUAAGGGAUUGCUAUAACUCUAUUUUGGUGCUUGAGGUUUGCUUCCUUUUUUGUAGCCACAUGCGUAUUCUUUCUAGCUACAUGCAUGUUUUCAUUUUGCUCACGGAAUAGUUUAGUUAUAUUCAUUAGUAGCAUCUCUAUGUUAUUAGAUACAAACAUAAUAUGCUUCUUUAGUGAGGCCUUCUCUUCUUUUUUUUGUGAGAAGUGUGCCUUCUCUAAUCUGGCAAUUAUCUUAUUCGUUGUUGCAUAACUAAACUGUAAAAUAUUUUAAUGCCUCUGAACAUAGCCUAAUUUAUCCACAAAAAGAGUUGCCGUGUUUGUUUCUGCUGCCAAGUUGUGCAUCAGCAGGGAACUCAUUCUUCCAGUAGGCUGGAACUGUUGCAUUUGUUUUUGCUGCCAAGUUGUGCAUCAGUGGUUGAGCUCAUUUUUCCAGUAGGCUUGAACUGUCGCGUUUGUUUCUGCUGCCAAGUUGUGCAUCAAUAGUCGAGAUCAUUUUUCUGCUAUUUCUCAGGGACAACCAAGAUCAUGAAUCUGGACUCCGGCUUCCGUGGUAUUUCUGUGUGCCUCGACUUUGGCUCCAUGCUUAUUCAUUAAUUUAGCGAGAUUUAGUACUUCGAAAGUUGUAGCAUGAGUUUUUGGCCAAGACGGCACAUAUGAAAAGUUAGCCAAGGAUGUACGAAAUCUUAUAUUUGUAUUUUCACAUUUUGGAUUCACCAUGUCCAAAUGCAAGCUACAUUUUGUCUAUUUCUUAAAUUUAAUAUGUUCAAUUCUUGCAUGAA